CAGUCGCCGCGGGAAUACGAAGGGGGCUAGCGUUGUUCGGAAUUACUGGGCGUAAAGGGCGCGUAGGCGGCCAUUCAAGUUAGAUGUGAAAGCCCUGGGCUCAACCUAGGAAUUGCAUUUGAUACUGUUUGGCUUGAGUUCGGGAGAGGUGAGUGGAAUUCCCAGUGUAGAGGUGAAAUUCGUAGAUAUUGGGAAGAACACCAGUGGCGAAGGCGGCUCACUGGACCGACACUGACGCUGAGGCGCGAAAGCGUGGGGAGCAAACAGGAUUAGAUACCCCGGUAGUCCCUGUCUCUUAUAC
rnacentral:rRNA from 1 species